UGGCAAUGACAGAGCCUCUGUUACAAGCCCUCUUUGAAUGGGACCAUCUGGACUUUGUUCCCAGGAACAGUUAAUGCACUGACUUCACCUUGACACUGGAAAACACCUGUGGUCAUGUAGGGGUAAAAAAUAAUAUCCUCUGAAAAGGAAAGCACAGGUUAUCUGGUAUCAGUAAAGCAGCCAGACAUAGACACCAUUUUUAUUUCUUUCUUUUCCAAGAGUAGUCCUUUAUCCAAAGGACCAGCAACAUCCACUCUUAAAGCAACUGUUAUGGCACCUGGAGGCCUCCAACGACUGCAAAAUUGAAGUCUGGUGGGUACCUGUGUGGAAACAGAAUUAUUCAGACACAAAACCGAGGAACACAGGAGAGAGAGAAAGGAAAAACAAGGGCUGCUUAAAGAUUUCAUCUGCAUCACUCCCAGCUUCUCAGCACAUGGAAACCCCAGGCUGAGCGCCAUGCAACAUUUUAAUCACUUCCUUUCCCUCUGCCCUGCAUUCCAGAGGACCUUAAAAACUUGUUGACACCUGUCUGGGAUUUGAAAAACUUUAAUUUCAGCAGGUGCUUGUGGGCUCCAAAGUAUUUAAGGGAGCAAACUAGCAAAACCCUGUUAUCCCCAGUCCCUGCAGUGGAGUUGCUAUAAGCAGCAUGGUCAGACUGCAAAGGCAACUAUAAUAUCCAAUUUUCUUUAUCACCUUGCCUCAGAGUCCACUUGUUUGCCAUUUGCCUUGACCAGCAAACUCCAGUGACAAUCUUCUGAGGCUUCUUUACACAAAACAGAAGCCAGGAUUUGUACUGCAGAAUGAGCUGACUGGAAACAUUGAAUUACACUCACUGCAUGCACCAGUGCCUUUGGAGUGCCUCUGGCAUCAUCAGGGCAGGAUGCAUGCAGGAUCAAAAAUCACAUAGCAAAACCACACAAAAUGAGCCACCCCUGCUGCAAAACCUAUUUGCUGAGACUUCACACCUCCAGCAACACUCCAUUCCUCCACUGGUAACUUGAAGAGAGAGAAAGAAACUAAGUGCUAAUAAAAAUAAAUUUGCAAGGUAAUUGAGAAGGGACAAAGAGACGGGGAUUUUAUUUAACCAUUUUCUGCCUGAGUAUUCACUUUUGGUAAGCUUAUGGUAAGAAUGGAUGAAUGAUUUCUUUUUAGUUGAGUACAAUAUGCAGAAAGCU